rnacentral:rRNA from 1 species
GGCCCCAUGAAGUUUGAAUGUGGGGUCUGGCCUGCUCUAUGAUAGUAUUUAAUGGCCGCGGUAUUUUGACCGUGCAAAGGUAGCAUAAUCAUUAGUCCUUUAAUUGAGGUCUGGAAUGAAGGGUUGAACGAGGGAGAAGCUGUCUGAGGGUAAAGGACUUGAAUUUUACUUUUGGGUGAGAAGGCCAAAAUUGUCUUGGGGGACGAUAAGACCCUAUAGAUCUUUACUGUCUGGUGGUCCGAGGGCUAGAGGGCAACCAGGUAGUUUUGUUGGGGUGACAGGGAGAUAUAAUUACCUCUCUUAAGAAGGUGUUACAAACGAGUAUUGGUGAUGAUCCGUUAUUUGGCGACAGAUGAAUUAAGUUACCUUAGGGAUAACAGCGUAAUUUUACUUGAGAGUUCAUAUCGACAGUAGAGUUUGCGACCUCGAUGUUGGAUUAAGGUAUUUUGGUGAUGGAGAAGUUACUAGAAGAGGUCUGUUCGACUUUUAAUUCCUUACA